rnacentral:rRNA from 1 species
CCUACGGGGGGCAGCAGUGGGGGAUAUUGCACAAUGGGGGGAACCCUGAUGCAGCGACGCCGCGUGGGUGAAGGAGUGCUUCGGCAUGUAAAGCCCUAUCGGCAGGGAAGAAGCAAGACGGUACCUGACUAAGAAGCCCCGGCUAACUACGUGCCAGCAGCCGCGGUAAUACGUAGGGGGCGAGCGUUCUCCGGAUUCACUGGGUGUAAAGGGAGCGUAGACGGCCAUGCAAGCCAGGGGUGAAAGCCCGGGGCCCAACCCCGGGACUGCCCUUGAAACUGUGCGGCUAGAGUGCGGGAGGGGCAGGCGGAAUGCCUGGUGUAGCGGUGAAAUGCGUAGAUAUCAGGAGGAACACCAGCGGCGAAGGCGGCCUGCUGGACCGCGACUGACGUUGAGGCUCGAAAGCGUGGGGAGCGAACAGGAUUAGAUACCCCAGUAGUC